rnacentral:tRNA from 1 species
GUCCUGCUGGGAGGCGGGCUCUGGCUCUCGCUGGCGUCGGGAGGCCGGCUGUGAAGGACGGGUUCCGCCAGUGCAUGGCC